rnacentral:rRNA from 1 species
AUUGAACGCUGGCGGCAGGCCUAACACAUGCAAGUCGAACGAGUGGCGGACGGGUGAGUAAUGUCUGGGAAACUGCCUGAUGGAGGGGGAUAAAUACUGGAACCGGUAGCUAAUACCGCAUACCAUCGGAUGUGCCCCGAUGGGAUUAGCUAGUAGGUGGGGUAAAGGCUCACCUAGGUGACGAUCCCUCGCUGGUCUGAGAGGAUGACAAGACAAAAUGGAACUGAGACACGGUGCAGACUGCUAAGGUAGUCAGCAGUGGGGAAUAUUGCACAAUGGGCGGAAUCCUGAUGCAGCCAUGCCGCGUGUAUGAAGAAGGCCUUCGGGUUGUAAAGUACUUUCAGCGGGGAGGCGUUGCCCGAAGAAGAAGCACAGGCUAACUCCGUGCCAGCAGCCGCGGUAAUAC